AAAGCUAGCGAGAAACUGGCUACAAAUAGCAAGAAAUUAUUUGAUAACGAAUUCAAAUACUUAGUUAGUGUGGCGAGAAUGUAUUUUUGGACUGAAUUUAGUGACAGAUACAGGUCCAUUACUAAUUCGUUGAACUUCUUAUAAGCAAAACACAUCGUUUUAUUAAAUCCUAAUUAGCAACGGAUUGAUUCGCCGCUAGUCUGCUGCUAAUAUGGAAUAAGAAUAUCCAGC
rnacentral:lncRNA from 1 species